CAAAUCCUUGCCCUUAAUACCCUUAUACUAGCCAGAAGGCAUUCGAAUAGGAAUUGACUCAAUGAAGCGGGGAGCCGGUGGCGUAACUCAGUUCCUCUGGCUGUCUCUCUCCGCUCAGGCUCGGAAGAUUUGCCUUCUGCAACCAUUCUUUCCGCGGAGCUGAGCUGGAGCCAGAAGAACGUUUUAUCUGAGAGGAGAAUCAGAAAGACUGCGGGAGGCUCUGAUCAGCUUUCCAGGGCCAUGGAAACAGCCCGAGUCCAUCAUCCUCCCAGGAGGCAGCUGUGCGUGGCCGUUCAGCCAGGAGACACUGAGCCGGGGCCGGGAGAAAGAGGAGGAGACCCGGGCAAUCUGGCUUCAGCCCGAUACAGCCAAGCUGAAAACGCGCAGCACUGCCCUCCGCGAGCGACUCGGGGUCACGAGGCGAGAGACACGCCAAAAAGAGCGGAAUGCCUGUCAUAGAGCCCAACGCAACCGGAGCACACACGAAUGUCUGCGUACAUGUAUCUGCAUUUGUAUGGUAAAUUCCACUCCAGGAAAAUCCUUGGGAAACCAUUCCUAUCCGGGAGAUGAGAAGAAUGCCAACCACCCUAGUCACCCACACAACCAUCAUCUGCAGCUCUUGGGGAAUGGUAAGGGCUUAAGUUGCUUUUAAUUUUAGAUCGGGAGCAAUCUGAUUUGGGGCCAAGGUCUUUUUUCACUGUCCUUCAAAAUGUAUUAAGCUGUGGUGUUUUUCCACCUCAGCUUGCUCUGUUUCAGCUCCCAAGCACCAAAAACUAAAGCCGCACCAAACAAAUACUCGACCUACAGCAAGGAUGCAGAGUCUGAUUUUGAUCUCUGCAGAGAUCAAGCUGUAAAACACAGCUUUCCCCUUCCAAAGAAAUAGGUCAGCAGCCUCACCCCAAAUCUUCAAGGGAAAAGGGUGUUCUUCUUUAGGGGGAGGGCCGCCUGGAAAAUUUCCUUGAGCCAGACCACUAGGCAGAAUCUCCAUGGGCUUUUCUUAAUUUGGCUCCCUUCCUACCAGUCCUCCUUCCUCCUAAAAGGGCACGUUGUUUCCUGGCCUAUCCUUUGUCCUGGAUCUCAGU
rnacentral:lncRNA from 1 species